rnacentral:rRNA from 1 species
CGUACACUCCUACGGGAGGCAGCAGUGGGGAAUAUUGCACAAUGGGCGCAAGCCUGAUGCAGCCAUGCCGCGUGUAUGAAGAAGGCCUUCGGGUUGUAAAGUACUUUCAGCGGGGAGGAAGGCGAUAAGGUUAAUAACCUUGUUGAUUGACGUUACCCGCAGAAGAAGCACCGGCUAACUCCGUGCCAGCAGCCGCGGUAAUACGGAGGGUGCAAGCGUUAAUCGGAAUUACUGGGCGUAAAGCGCACGCAGGCGGUCUGUCAAGUCGGAUGUGAAAUCCCCGGGCUCAACCUGGGAACUGCAUUCGAAACUGGCAGGCUAGAGUCUUGUAGAGGGGGGUAGAAUUCCAGGUGUAGCGGUGAAAUGCGUAGAGAUCUGGAGGAAUACCGGUGGCGAAGGCGGCCCCCUGGACAAAGACUGACGCUCAGGUGCGAAAGCGUGGGGAGCAAACAGGAUUAGAAACCCCAGUAGUCCC